rnacentral:rRNA from 1 species
AGCGAACGCUGGCGGCAUGCUUAACACAUGCAAGUCGCACGGGCAGCAAUGUCAGUGGCGGCCGGGUGAGUAACGCGUAGGAACGUGUCCUGAGGUGGGGGACAACCCCGGGAAACUGGGGCUAAUACCGCAUAUGGGCUGAGGCCCAAAGCCGAGAGGCGCCUUUGGAGCGGCCUGCGUCCGAUUAGGUAGUUGGUGGGGUAAAGGCCUACCAAGCCUGCGAUCGGUAGCUGGUCUGAGAGGACGACCAGCCACACUGGGACUGGGACACGGCCCAGACUCCUACGGGAGGCAGCAGUGGGGAAUAUUGGACAAUGGGCGAAAGCCUGAUCCAGCAAUGCCGCGUGGGUGAAGAAGGUCUUCGGAUCGUAAAGCCCUUUCGACGGCGACGAUGAUGACGGUACCCGUAGAAGAAGCCCCGGCUAACUUCGUG